rnacentral:sRNA from 12 species
GAUGGACCCAAAGACAGGAGUUUCGCGCAGGAGUUCGGCGAUAUCUUGUUCAUAACUAUUGGGAGGAUGAAUGUUUGGUACUCCAUCUGUAAGGAUAAAGAUAGAAUUGACGUAU